GGCGUGGGUCACGUGACCACCUUCUCUUCCUGACACCAGAGCGCACAGCCGGUCAGCACCCACGUUUCCUUCAUGGCCGAGGGAGCGGUGCAGAGCUUUUAGGACAUACAUAUUGAUUGGGAGGAACGGACUAACACCGACAUGCCUCGUAAGGAGAGGAGGCGGAAGCAGCGACAGAAAGAGCUACAUGAGGCAGCUAAAGACAGUGGGUCCCUCACCAGCUGGAUAAAAGAGUGCAGUCUGAGAUCAACACAGCCUUGCCCUCCAGCAUCACCAGCAGCAGCAAGAGGAGCAACCCUGCAACAGCUACAUUGUGCCCCAUCAUCAGGUAAAAUAGGACAGCAAUAGAUCAGGAGGUGGAGCAGGUUGUCCAGUAAUCGGAACGUUGCAGGUUUGAUCCUGACUUCAAUCAGAGAUUGAUGCUGUUGUGUCCUUGGGCAAGACACUUAACCUGCUUUGCCUGCUGGUGGUGGUCGGAGGGACUGGUGGCGCCUGUGCUCAGCAGCUUCACCUCUGUCAGUGCGCUCCAGAGCAGCUAUGGCUACAUCAUAGCUCAUCACCAUCAGUGUGUUAAUGUGUGUGUGUGAAUGACUGAUUGUGUUGUAAUGUGCCUUGGGGGGGUUGUAGAACCCUAAGAAGGCAUUAUACAAAUACAGACCAUUUACCAAAACAAGUUACUUUUGCUUUACAAUGUCCUUAUGGUGUAGAUAAUGAUUCACUUCCAUUUUGAAUUUCUAAUAAAUAUGAUUUGUUAUUCAGCCGGGUAUACUGUGGUUAUGUCAUGGUGUUAGAAAAUAUUAUUCUGUGUGCCCCUUUUUAAAUUUGAGCACCCGCCCCUUCAAAGGUCUCUGCACAGCCCUGGUGACAGGUGCAAUCUCCUUUAAUCACAGCUUUUGGACCCUGCUGCAAACUUAAGGUCUCUAUUAAUCACCGUGACAUCCCGGAGAGACCGAGGUGAACACUGUAGAGCUUGUUUGUUUUGAUAUCCAAUGUUUAGAGACUUGUUUUAUGUUGUAGGAUUAAAUAUGUUGCUUUUAAGCUUACUGUAUUACCUUUACUUAUGACCAAUGAACUGUAUUCUAUAUAAAUAUAGAGUAACACUCUGAUUGGUCUUUGAAUGUUUAAUCAGAAGAUUCUAGGAUUCUUUGCUUUUUCAGUGAUGUAGCGUCACAAAGGUCCUCCCAGCUAGGUCAAGCUGGGUCAGACUGUAACUUUUGGUUCCACAGAUUAAUCCAGGAGUCAUGAUGGCUGCUGAAUAUCAUCUAUAUCUGCUGCUGUUCCGUCCCAGAGUGAAGGACACUUCAAGUUUCACAAUAAUAAUUUAAAUUAUAAUUUUAAUAAACUAUUUGACUUUAUUACUGUUUAUUAUAAUCAUCAUAAAUAAUCACUUGGUUCAGUAAAUGUAUUUUAAUUACUGAAAUGAAUUAUUAUGCUUUGGGUAUAAUAAUGAUUUUUGUUAUAAUCAGUAAUGUGUGUUCAGUAAACCAGAAGGUCAACUUCCACUUUAUCCAUCCAACACAGAGCUUAUCCAGAGUAAAGGUAAACUGCCAUCACAUGUCUUUGCCUCAUGACCAAAGCUUUCUUGCUCUGAGAGGGGGCAUGUUCUGAGGGGUUUGUUAAAACUAACUUUCCAGCAGCAAAACUUCAGUUCGUGAACCAACCACCAUCCGGAGGAUAAGGGAACGGCCGCCCUGAACCUCCACCUGCUGUUCUGUCACGCUGAUAGAAUAGCUUGAAUAAACGCAUGAUAACCAGCUGACGCAAAACUCCUUCAGAUUUAUUGAUUUUGAGUUAAGUAACACGCAAAACUCAUUCAGAGUUAAGCCAACCGCUCGACACUGUGUACCCUGCGACAUCUCUGGACCAGAGGAUCAGUUUCACUCGCGUCUUCUCUACCGGACUGAGUACCCUGAGGCUGACAACAUCCUCCUUGACCUCCGGAUCCACACGGAGGGUCGUCUUGCUGGGUGAGGUAUUGAUGCUUGUUGUGUUUGAUGCUGUUUCUCUAAAUGACAACCGAGUUGGCUGCAAAACCAUCAUUUCACCCAGAACGAGUUCCUUUCUCUGAAAGAAACCUUCUGAGAAUUCGUUCACGCAUCCAAGCUCUCAUUUCAUUUUAGCUUUCCAUCCAGUCACAGGUUUGCCUUUAAAACAAGUUUUAAUAUCAAAGCUGGUAAAUUGUCAUUUCUGAAUUGUCGUUCCAAAUUGUCAAGUUUAAAAUUGUUAGUAAUAAAUUCUUAACUUUAAAAACUUGACUCUCAUUUUUUAAAUGAAACACAGAAAGGUAUAAAUAUUUCUGGUUAUUGAAAAAGCAAAGAUUCCUAACU